GACGAACGCUGGCGGCGUGCUUAAUACAUGCAAGUCGACGAGCUUUUAAUUAGCAAUAGUUAAAAGAGAGUGGCGCACGGGUGAGUAACACGUAGAUAAUCUACCCUCAGGACUGACAUAAUGUCGAGAAAUCGGCACUAAUAUCAGAUGAAGUAAUAUCAUGGCAUCAGAGAUAUUAUCAAAGUUUUAACGCCUGGGGACGAGUCUGCGGUCCAUUAGGUAGUUGGCGGAUUAAAAGCCCCCCCAAGCCUACGAUGGAUAGCUGGUCUGAGAGGAUGAUCAGCCACACUGGAACUGAGAUACGGUCCAGACUCCUACGGGAGGCAGCAGUAAGGAAUAUUGCUCAAUGGGAGAAAUCCUGAAGCAGCAACGCCGCGUGGAGGAUGAAAGGUCUUUGACUUGUAAACUCCUAGUAAAGAAGGAAAAAUUCCCAAUUAGAUGGGAAAUGAGUGGUACUUCUAAAGUAAGCUACCGGCUAACUACGUGCC
rnacentral:rRNA from 1 species